UGCUGGGUGGAUUAGUGGCGAACGGGUGAGUAACACGUGAGUAACCUGCCCCUGACUCUGGGAUAAGCGUUGGAAACGACGUCUAAUACUGGAUAUGACUGCCGGCCGCAUGGUCUGGUGGUGGAAAGAUUUUUUGGUUGGGGAUGGACUCGCGGCCUAUCAGCUUGUUGGUGAGGUAAUGGCUCACCAAGGCGACGACGGGUAGCCGGCCUGAGAGGGUGACCGGCCACACUGGGACUGAGACACGGCCCAGACUCCUACGGGAGGCAGCAGUGGGGAAUAUUGCACAAUGGGCGAAAGCCUGAUGCAGCAACGCCGCGUGAGGGAUGACGGCCUUCGGGUUGUAAACCUCUUUUAGUAGGGAAGAAGCGAAAGUGACGGUACCUGCAGAAAAAGCACCGGCUAACUACGUGCCAGCAGCCGCGGUAAUACGUAGGGUGCAAGCGUUGUCCGGAAUUAUUGGGCGUAAAGAGCUCGUAGGCGGUUUGUCGCGUCUGCUGUGAAAUCCCGAGGCUCAACCUCGGGCUUGCAGUGGGUACGGGCAGACUAGAGUGCGGUAGGGGAGAUUGGAAUUCCUGGUGUAGCGGUGGAAUGCGCAGAUAUCAGGAGGAACACCGAUGGCGAAGGCAGAUCUCUGGGCCGUAACUGACGCUGAGGAGCGAAAGCGUGGGGAGCGAACAGGAUUAGAUACCCUGGUAGUCCACGCCGUAAACGUUGGGCGCUAGAUGUAGGGACCUUUCCACGGUUUCUGUGUCGUAGCUAACGCAUUAAGCGCCCCGCCUGGGGAGUACGGCCGCAAGGC
rnacentral:rRNA from 1 species